CAGCGUCUUCAGGGCGGGGCGAAAUUCCCCACCGGCGGUAGGCGAGGCUGUGGCGCAAUGCCACAGGGUCUUCGCAAGCCCGCGAGCGCCCAUGGCGAGCGGCUGUUGAUUCAGCAGGCGGCCAUGGGGUCAGCAGAUCUGGCACCACUCCAGAGCCGACGGUCACAGUCCGGAUGCAAGAAGAUGCGC
rnacentral:ncRNA from 1 species